GAACGGCAGCACGGACUUCGGUCUGGUGGCGAGUGGCGAACGGGUGAGUAAUGUAUCGGAACGUGCCUAGUAGCGGGGGAUAACUACGCGAAAGCGUAGCUAAUACCGCAUACGCCCUUCGGGGGAAAGCGGGGACCUUCGGGCCUCGCACUAUUAGAGCGGCCGAUAUCGGAUUAGCUAGUUGGUGGGGUAACGGCUCACCGCGACGAUCCGUAGCUGGUCUGAGAGGACGACCAGCCACACUGGGACUGAGACACGGCCCAGACUCCUACGGGAGCAGCAGGGAAUUUUGGAUAAUGGGGGAAACCCUGAUCCAGCCAUCCCGCGUGUGCGAUGAAGGCCUUCGGGUUGUAAAAGCACCUUUUGGCAGGAAAGAAACGGCACGGGAUAACACCGUGCAACUGACGGUACCUGCAGAAUAAGCACCGGCUAACUACGUGCCAGCAGCCGCGGUAAUACGUAGGGUGCAAGCGUUAAUCGGAAUUACUGGGCGUAAAGCGUGCGCAGGCGGUUCGGAAAGAAAGAUGCGGAAUCCCAGAGCUUAACUUUGGAACUGCAUUUUUAACUACCGAGCUAGAGUGUGUCAGAGGGAGGUGGAAUUCCGCGUGUAGCAGUGAAUGGGUGUAGAUAUGCGUGAGGAAAUUGACCGAUGGCAAGGCAGCCUCUGGGAUAACACUGACGCUCAUGCACGAAAGCGUGGGAGCAAACAGGAUUAGAUACCUCUGGUAGUCCACGCCCUAAACGAUGUCAACUAGCUGUUGGGGCCUUCGGGCUCUCGGUAGCGCAGCUAACGCGUGAAGUUGACCGCGUGGGGGAGUACGGCUGCAAGAUUAAAACUCAAAGGAAUUGACGGGGACCCGCACAAGCGGUGUGAUGAUGUGAUUAAUUCGAUGCACCGUGAAAAACCUUACCUACCCUGCGAUGUUCAACCUGAAGAGAUUUGGAGUGCUCAAGAGAACCGGAACACAGGUGCUGCAUGGCUGUCGUCAGCUCGUGUCGAGAUGUUGGGUUAAGUCCCGCAACGAGCGCAACCCUGUCAUUAGUUGCUACGAAAGGCACUCUAAUGAGACUGCCGGUGACAAACCGGAGGAAGGUGGGGAUGGACGUCAAGUCCUCAUGGCUCCCUAUGGGUAGGGCUUCACACGUCAUACAAUGGUCGGGACAGAGGGUCGCCAACCCGCGAGGGGGAGCCAAUCCCAGAAACCCGAUCGUAGUCCGGAUCGCAGUCUGCAACUCGACCGCGUGAAGUCGGAAUCGCUAGUAAUCGCGAUCAGCAUGUCGCGGUGAAUACGUUCCGGUCUUGUACACACCGCCCGUCACACCAUAAUGGGAGUGGGCUUUACCAGAAGUGGUUAGCCUAACCGUAAGGGAGGGCGAUUACCACGGUAGAUUCAUGACUGGGGUGGAAGUCGUAACAAGGUA
rnacentral:rRNA from 1 species